UACGGAAGGCAGCAGUGGGGAAUAUUGCACAAUGGGUGAAAGCCUGAUGCAGCUAUGCCGCGUGUAUGAAGAAGGCCUUAGGGUUGUAAAGUACUUUCAUCGGGGAGGAAAAACAAAACUAAUAAUUUUAUUUCUUGACGUUACCCGAAAAAGAAGCACCGGCUAACUCCGUGCCAGCAGCCGCGGUAAUACGGAGGGUGCUAGCGUUAAUCAGAAUUACUGGGCGUAAAGAGCACGUAGGUGGUUUUUUUAAGUCAGAUGUGAAAUCCCUGGGCUUAACCUGGAACUGCAUUUUGAAACUGAAAUACUAGAGUAUCGUAGAGGGAGGUAGAAUUCUAGGUGUAGCGGUGAAAUGCGUAGAUAUCUGGAGGAAUACCUGUGGCGAAAGCGGCCUCCUAAACGAAUACUGACACUGAGGUGCGAAAGCGUGGGGAGCAAACAGGGAUUAGAUACC
rnacentral:rRNA from 1 species